GGCCAACCCCGGCCUCGCGUGCUGUCCCGUCUCUGACGCAUGGGGGAGUGGAGACAGCAGUGGGUGUUUGCUGACAAGCAGCUUCGUGGGAACGCUUGCCUCGGCACUUCUCAGUGCUGAAUCAGGGAGAAAAGUUGGGCAGAGUGCCUGUGGGGUUCAACUGAGAGAGGGAGAAAAAAACAGCCUGAGGUGGGAGAGAAACACCAGGCAAAGCAGUAACAGCAGUAGCAAAACCAUCAUCACCUGGAGGCCUGCUGGGUGCCUUCCAGUACCCUCCCGUUCGUUCUCACCACAGCCCUGUGAGGGAUGUACCACAGUUUGUAUAUCCACUCAACUGCUGAAGGACAUCGGAGCUGUUUCCAGCUUGGAAUGAUUAUGAAUAGAGCUGCUACAAAGAUGUGUACGGGUUUCGCGUGAACAUAAGUUUUCACUUCAUUUCUCAGGAGCAGGAUUGUUGGGCCAUGUGAUUCAGGUUCCCUGGAGCGAUCAUCUGACGGACCUGCCGUGGGUCAUGUGACCAUCUUUAGAGAAAGGAAUGGUGGAACACUUUGACUGACAGUCCCAUCAAGACUAUGUCCAAGUAGAGGCAUAAUCUUUCCUUGUUGUAAGGACUAUUGAGGUGCUCUUAACAGAAGGAAAGGGAAGAAUGGAUCCUGGAGAGGCAUAAACCACAGAGGCCCACCAUGGCAGUGACUUCAAAAAUUUUUGAUCACAAUCCACAUUAAGAAAUAUAUUUCACCAACAUGCAAGAAUAUUCACACAUGACUGAAAUGCAGUUUUUAUAUAACAGUAUGGAGCCUUCCAAUGCGUAGUAUACUCUGAUACAUCAUAUUCGUUUCCUUUCAUUUUUCAAAAAUGGCUUUUGUAACUCCUUAUGGAUUGCAAUCUGUGGAUUGGAAAGCGCUGUACUUUUAACAUGAUUUCCUUCCCCUCCCUAUCCGUGAAGGCUCCAGAAGGAAAGACUGAAAAACAGUGAAGACAUAAAGUGGUGAGCUCCAUAAUGGAUCCCCAGAGAACGUUGACCGAUCCAUCUCACAAGACAGAUGUGUAGACUGAGACGUUAAACUCCUGUGAGUUAAAAAAGGAUGAUGAAAAACAAAUGUUUGCCCUCAGAAGCAGACCCUGAGACAAGGAUUGGGAUCCAAGUAGCCUAUUUGUGAGGUGAUCCCAGGAAAGACAGGGAGGGAGUGGGGAAGUGAGAGAGGGAAGGGAAGAAAGCCAGCCAAAGGUUCAUGACAAGAGUGUUGUCAUCGUGGGCAUCCGUGGCUCAGUCACAUAAGAGACCCUCUAGGAACAGUGCAGAACAUGCCUCAGGUCUGUCUCAUCAAAGGGCAGGGAAGCUCGGGUGUUCAUCCACCAAGUGCCAUCCCUCCAUGUGAAGCUGGACCAAAACCAUCAAUUUCCCAACACUUCCAGCAUGCCACCAAGUGAGGGCCAAGCUCCCACCACCGGAGAACACCCUCAGGCAGAAGAUGCAGGAAGCUUUGGGGUACGCAAGAAUUGUCUGCGGAUGACCUCCAGAUUGGUCAAGAGUGUACAGUUUGAAGAUCUCCUUCAAGACGUAACUGGGAGGGAGAAGGAGUAGCCCAGGAAGCCACUUGCAGUCAGAAAUACCUGCCUCCCCUCCCAGGGCUCACCUCACGGUCAGGCACAGUCUCGUUGCCCAUAGCACCUUGGAAUGGCCCAAUCCCCAGAUUCGUAGAUUCACCAAGUUCAUCCCAGCCUGGGUGCCUGGCUUCCUGCCUCGGCAUUGCUGAAGGAAGACAGGAAAUCCACCCAACCAGCUCACCUGUCCUACCUGGCCCCUCUGAUUCUCAGCCAAUGUCCCAGAGAAUGUCUGGUUUUCAGCCAGUGAUCUCUGCCACAACGUCUCAGGACAUCGAAUCUACCC
ensembl:lncRNA